UACGUAGGGGGCAAGCGUUGUCCGGAUUUACUGGGCGUAAGGAUCGUGUCGGCGGCCAUGCAGGUCCGUUGUGAAAACUGGAGGCUUAACCUCCAGACGUCGACGGAAACCGCGUGGCUAGAGUCCGGAAGAGGAGAGUGGAAUUCCUGGUGUAGCGGUGAAAUGCGCAGAUAUCAGGAAGAACACCAAUGGCGAAGGCAGCUCUCUGGGACGGUACUGACGCUGAGACGCGAAAGCGUGGGGAGCGAACAGG
rnacentral:rRNA from 1 species